UACAGCAUUAAAGGAGCAUCCGCUUGAGAUGGACCCGCGUCGCAUCUAGCUAGCUCUGGUGAGGUAACGGCUCACCAAGGCGACGAUGCGUAGCCGACCUGAGAGGGUGAUCGGCCACUCUGGGACUGAGACACGGCCCAGACUCCUACGGGAGGCAGCAGUGGGGAAUAUUGCACAAUGGGGGAAACCCUGAUGCAGCAACGCCGCGUGAGUGAUGACGGUCUUCGGAUUGUAAAGCUCUGUCUUCAGGGACGAUAAUGACGGUACCUGAGGAGGAAGCCACGGCUAACUACGUGCCAGCAGCCGCGGUAAUACGUAGGUGGCAAGCGUUGUCCGGAUUUACUGGGCGUAAAGGGAGCGUAGGUGGAUAUUUAAGUGGGAUGUGAAAUACUCGGGCUUAACCUGGGUGCUGCAUUCCAAACUGGAUAUCUAGAGUGCAGGAGAGGAAAGUAGACUCCUAGUGUAGCGGUGAAAUGCGUAGAGAUUAA
rnacentral:rRNA from 1 species